CCUAGAAGAAAUCUAAGGUGUAACCUGCCCACUGGUUUCUAAAGAAAUAGUAAACUAUUUUAAAGAAACUCAAAGGACGCAGUAACCUGACUGUGAUAAUGUAGCGCAAUCACUCGCCAUUUAAUUGAUGGAUAGUAUGAAUGGUUAAACGAAUUCCCCACUGUCUAAAGAGGAGAGGUUAUGAAACUAAAAUAAUAGUCAAGAUGCUAUUUAAAAUUGUAAGACGAAAAGACCCUAUAGAGCUUAACUACGUAUUCCUUAAAGACAAAGGAUGAACACUCCUUAAACCUGAAGAUAUGGUAGUUUAGUUGGGGCGACUGCCUUUUAAAAGAAACAAAGGUAAGCUAUGUUAAUAAAAAACUUAUUGUAUAACCAAUAAAUUUAACAAUUACUAUUGUAGGCCAUAAUGACCAGUUAAAAUCUAGUAACAGACUUAACGAUCAAUAAAUAAAAGCUACCUUAGGGAUAACAGAAUUAUCUUAUCCUAGAGAUCCCAUCUAAGAUAAGGUUUAUCACCUCUAUGUUGAAUUAAGAUGUCCUAGCGGCGCAGAAGCCGCUAACGGUAGGUCUGUUCGACCUUUAAAAU
rnacentral:rRNA from 1 species